AGUGAACGCUGGCGGUAGGCCUAACACAUGCAAGUCGAACGGCAGCACAGUAAGAGCUUGCUCUUACGGGUGGCGAGUGGCGGACGGGUGAGGAAUACAUCGGAAUCUACUUUUUCGUGGGGGAUAACGUAGGGAAACUUACGCUAAUACCGCAUACGACCUACGGGUGAAAGCAGGGGAUCUUCGGACCUUGCGCGAUUGAAUGAGCCGAUGUCGGAUUAGCUAGUUGGCGGGGUAAAGGCCCACCAAGGCGACGAUCCGUAGCUGGUCUGAGAGGAUGAUCAGCCACCCUGGAAAUGAGACACGGUCCAGACUCCUACGGGAGGCAGCAGUGGGGAAUAUUGGACAAUGGGCGCAAGCCUGAUCCAGCCAUACCGCGUGGGUGAAGAAGGCCUUCGGGUUGUAAAGCCCUUUUGUUGGGAAAGAAAAGCAGCAGGUUAAUACCCCGCUGUUCUGACGGUACCCAAAGAAUAAGCACCGGCUAACUUCGUG
rnacentral:rRNA from 1 species